AAUGCGGGACUGACUUGAGCCACAGGAACAUUCUUUAUAUUCUUUCUGUCCAACUACUCUCUUACAGGCAGCUUUUGGUAUAAAUCAAAUCCACCAACCAGGAGAGCACUGGGCUGUGAUUCAGGAGUCACAUACUUGCUCUGUGGCUUUGGGCUUUUUACAUCUCCUCUCUGGGUCUUGAUUUUAAUAUACAUCAGAUUAAUGAGUUUAAGGAGACACUCUCUAUAGCUCUGACACAAUGUUGUCUUGGGUUUCCAAUGCCCCAUUUGCCCUGGGCAAGGGCACCUGUGUCCCUUGUUAGCUGGCUUUCCCCCUCUUCCUCUGCCCGCCUCCCUCCAAGGCAGUGCAUCAUUUUGGACCCCAAAGUGGUAUUAGGCAGCCAGACAAUCUCAUUUACUCACAACCAUUUCCGUCAUCAGGACCCACUAUAUCCAGUGGCAAUUUACCACACGUCGUUAAUAUGUUUGUUAUAUUUUGUUGGCGGAAUAUGAAAGUUCAUCAGCAAGCCCGCACACAGGGAAAGCAUAUUGAAAUGAGCAUCGCAGAUCUGUCAGGCUGGAGUUUAUGGCCUUUUCUCAGUACUACACUGCGACUUCCAGGAAGGGUUCAGGCGCCCUCACUGGGGAACUACAUUCUCUGAACAGGACUUUGUAGAUGCCGAUGCUGUCUAAAUGGAUUACAAAGCUUUGUGAAUGAUACAAUCUAUCCUUUACGGAUCUCCCAACAGAAUUGCCAAAUAUUGGAGCAAAAUAUAUGUAUGUUUCAUAUCAA